AUGAAGAAGUACCAGCCUGCAGACAAGAGCAAAGGUAGUCUAAAUUCUCAGGUACCAGGAAAUCAAACCAGAAAACCGACUCAAUCAAUUUAUGUACUGGAUCAUAUGCCAACACAUUUCCAUAGAUCCCUGUUAAAUACUGGUGCCAUCAUCUCCACAAACCGGGAAAAAAAUUCUACGAGACCUGGUCUUUUUUACGCCGUCCAAGGAAUGCCACGUCUCAACACGAAUCACGAAGCACCCUGGGUCUUGGGUCUUCUUCCUUUGACAACGACUUCGUUCUUUUUCCCUGAUGGAAUCAUCUUCCAGUUUAUUGCUUGGUCAGUACUCAGUAGUUAG
rnacentral:rRNA from 1 species